GAGCUAAAGUUUUCUGGACUGUCCACUCACCCGGAUUCGUCUCAUCGCAGCCACGAUCUCCACCCGGCUAUUCGGCCGCGUUACAUCCAGACUCCCGAUGUACUGAGGUGGAGAAGGAGAAACGUGACAGGUGCCUCAAGCUUCAAACUGCUGCCUUCUUUCAAAUGGACACUUCAAAAAUAGAUCAUACAGUGGAGGAGCUCAGGUUAAUGUGGUGUGAGAUGGAGGAAGCUGCUGUCAGCUAUUGCACUUCUGCUCUGACUCCACAGGAUGGAGACAUUGAGCUGCUGCAGCACACACUCCCUGGACCAAGAUCCCAAAGUGUCAGAAAGUCUGGUAAAAAGAAACAAAGCACACAAAAAUACUACAAUGAGAUGAAAACAAAGACAGAAAAAUUCUUCCUCUCAAAGCUAUAAUAGAGUUUCAGCUAAAGUUUGAUUAAAAUACAGAGUUGUGUGAAACUAUUUUUGUGGAGUAUUUUUUUUUUGUUUGUUUUUUGUGUCUGUUUUCACUUCCUCAUCUGGUCAAACUUUUCAGUUUCCUUCAAACAACAUCCCUUUUGCUUCUUUAAGGACACCAGCUUAACCGUUUUUUGGUUUUCCUUUUGUUUCAGAUGUCUGUAAACAAGUAUUGCUGAAGUUACAAUCAGCAGGCACUUUUUUUUUUUUAUUUGUCCUGUCCAACAGAUACGGGCCUCACUUUUGGCCAGAAAGGUUUUGCUAAUUUUCAAAAAUAACGGCAAGAUGAACCCAUCUAUUGUUAUUCAUUUUUCUAAAUGUCUUCUUGCUGUAUUGAAAGAAUAAAAAAAAGAUAAACCAUUUAUUUAUAUAUACAGUUACAUCAUGUUACCAUUGUUUGUUUCAAAUUUGAGACAGUGCAGCUAAGUAAGGUGAUUUAUUCAUGAACACUCGUCAAUAUUUUUGUAUCUUCAAAAAAAUAACAUUGUUAUGAGCAAAAACUUCCCAAAUAACCCAAUGUAUC